UUCACAACUAAACAAAGAAAUAUGGAUAACCUAGUGCGUUUGAGCCACAAUAUGACUUUCAAUGCAAAUGUGGUCUAAUCCAUGAAUGAGUAACAGCAAAUGGUUACUUAGGAAAACACAAUAAUAUAAAUAUAAAAACAGGUAUUGUAACUACCAUUAAGCAGAAAAUAAUUAGGAUAAAGUAAACAUUGUGUUAGCGAAACCUAACUGUUAAAUAUAAAAAAUAUGUAGUUUGUACACGCUUGUAACAUGAAUAAGUGAAUAACGUUCGCAAAUUUCACAUCAUGGGACGAACCGGUCUCUCUUAUGACCCAACCAGACCACGGACCAUAUUUGGAACUUCCUUCACGUUCGCUCUUUACGUUCGUACGUUCGGGAGCCGAUUCGGAUGGCGCCAGUCGACAGAGAAAACUACACCUCCUGGCCUGUUGGUGGACACAGUUGACAUUUAUUUUAAACAGAGAGCUGCACCUGUCACUCUGAGGAGGAUGAUGGAGCAAAGCAAAGAACAACAAGCAACUGCCUUAAGCUUAGACAACACAGGCUGCUGGGAGAAAUACAGUACUCAUAUUUCUUUCUGGCUGGAGCACACAGCACACUACAGACCUGAUGUGGAAGAUGCAGCCUGCAGGAUUAAUUGGGCCCAGUUACAGAGGAUCAGCAAGUUUGGUGCUCUUCACAUGCUGCUCUUCCAUAUGGCAGCACAGAAGACACACACUAUGAUUAAUAGUUCAGUCUACCAGGUUUCUACUCAUCUACCCGUCAGACACAGGAUUUCCUGUGUGGCUUUACAGGAGGAGGUACCACCCAGAUGACGUCACCCAGAUCUCGAUGCAUUUUGUCUGUAGAUUACAGCCUAAACAAUAGCAAAUAUAUUGUCAUAUAUAUAAUAUCAUUUAUUAACCAUUUAUUGUAUGAAGUAGUGCCUCUGUUUUGUAAUGUUUUAAAUGUAUUAAUUUGUUUGAUGUAAGCACUGAUGGUUGUUGUUUUGAAGGAUAGGCCACUCCUGCUAUAACACACUGUGGGAGAAGUGGUUGCUUACAUAUCGUAUAGAUUAUAAGUGGGACUCAAAGAGUUUGCAUUAGGUUUUAGGUCUAGCUUGGUUAUGUGUUUUUUUUUCUAAAUAAAACAAAUAUUGAG
rnacentral:lncRNA from 1 species